GUCAGUUCAUGCUCUGUGGUUGGCUGAUGUCAUUAUGGACAAAAUUCCCCCUGAAGCCUCAUGCUAACUGCUGAAGCCAGUGUCUCCCAGGAUACCAGCCUCUCACUCGCUGGUGUGCUUCACCUGUAAGGAUGCGUCCUCCAAUUGGCGUUGUCUGGCACCAACUAUGUGUCGAAGUGCUGAAAACAACUGUGUGACAGAAUAUAGUAUUUUAGAAACUGGCGGACAUUCCGGGCAGAGCAUCUCCAAGCAGUGUUCUGUACAUUGCCCCGGCGGUGUUUCCUGCUGCAGUUUUUCCUUCUGCAACUUCAGCAGGGCCAGCAGCGUGAAAGUCAGCUACUCCGUGCUGGCCAUGGUGGUCUUGGCCAGCUUUGUCUAUGUCAGAGCCGGACUCUGAUCAGGCCAGGAAAAAAGAAGUUGAUGCCCUGAAGAAUCUGCUCAGGCUUCUCCAACAAGACACCAACCCCCCCUCUGUGCAAAGCUAUAUGGGGGUUAACAAUGGUGCCCUUUCUUCCAAACUCUCAGAUCUCCAGAUUGUGGAGAUGCCCGCUUGCACUCUUAACCCAUCAGGAAAUGUUGGAUAAUGUUGGCAGGGUUUCUGCUUUUAUACCCAUAGUACCUGUUGAUGGGGAUGAUUUAAAAAAAAAAAGUCAGGGCUCAUCAAGAAAUGUUUAUCCCAAACCACCUCUUAAACACCCCUGCCUCUUGCUACCGCAGAGACAUUUCCCAUCCACGUCAUGCUAGGGAUCAGCGCCAGACUGGCUGCUGGGAAGGCAUGAUCCAGAACCAAACCCCAGAUACAUUCACCCCUGGUUGGAUUCUGUUUUUUUACAUUGUUUUUUUUAUUCUGCUCCUAGGCUGACUUUUCUUAUGUAAAACGAAUGCAGUGUGAGGCAUGUGAGCAUCACACCUGAAUAAACACUUUCCUGU